ACGUACACUCCUGCGGGAGGCAGCAGUGGGGAAUAUUGCACAAUGGGCGCAAGCCUGAUGCAGCCAUGCCGCGUGUAUGAAGAAGGCCUUCGGGUUGUAAAGUACUUUCAGCGGGGAGGAAGGCAAUACGGUUAAUAACCGUGUUGAUUGACGUUACCCGCAGAAGAAGCACCGGCUAACUCCGUGCCAGCAGCCGCGGUAAUACGGAGGGUGCAAGCGUUAAUCGGAAUUACUGGGCGUAAAGCGCACGCAGGCGGUCUGUCAAGUCGGAUGUGAAAUCCCCGGGCUCAACCUGGGAACUGCAUUCGAAACUGGCAGGCUUGAGUCUUGUAGAGGGGGGUAGAAUUCCAGGGGUAGCGGUGAAAGGCGUAGGGAUCUGGAGGAAUACCGGUGGCGAAGGCGGCCCCCUGGACAAAGACUGACGCUCAGGUGCGAAAGCGUGGGGAGCAAACAUGAUUAGAAACCCGUGUAGUCCCA
rnacentral:rRNA from 1 species